UACGAUGAAGUCUGUAAAUGAGUUUUUAUUUUUUUUAUAUUUAAUUUUAUGUAAUAAAAUUAUACUUUUAUUUUAUACCUUUUUUAUUUUUUUGAGGUGUUGAUCUAGCCUGCACGGCCUAUACCCUGUACUGACGUACCGUGAUCUCUGGAUACGAUACGUGCUUAAGAGAGAUAGUUUGUGGUAUGUUAGAUUAAAUUUUAUAUCUUGUAAUUGAAUUUAGAUAGUUUAU
rnacentral:lncRNA from 1 species